UUUUGAAAUAAAGAACUGUUUU
rnacentral:miRNA from 1 species